GAUCCUGGCUCAGGAUGAACGCUAGCGACAGGCCUAACACAUGCAAGUCGAGGGGCAGCGAAGAGGUAGCAAUACCUUUGUCGGCGACCGGCGCACGGGUGAGUAACACGUAUGCAAUCCACCUGUAACAGGGGGAUAACCCGGAGAAAUCCGGACUAGUACCCCAUAAUAUGGGCGCUCCGCAUGGAGAGCCCAUUAAAGAGAGCAAUUUUGGUUACAGACGAGCAUGCGCUCCAUUACG
rnacentral:rRNA from 1 species